UGAACCUACGGGGCGCAGCAGUAAGGAAUCUUCCACAAUGGGCGAAAGCCUGAUGGAGCAACGCCGCGUGGGUGAAGAAGGUCUUCGGAUCGUAAAACCCUGUUGUUAGAGAAGAAAGUGCGAGAGAGUAACUGUUCACGUUUCGACGGUAUCUAACCAGAAAACCACGGCUAACUACGUGCCAGCAGCCGCGGUAAUACGUAGGUGGCAAGCGUUAUCCGGAAUGAUUGGGCGUAAAGGGUGCGUAGGCGGCCUGCUAAGUCUGGAGUGAAAUGUACCGGCUCAACCGGUACAGGCUCUGGAAA
rnacentral:rRNA from 1 species